CGGGUGAGUAACGCGUGGAUGACCUGCCCUUUAGUGGGGAAUAACCCGGGGAAACUCGGGCUAAUACCGCAUAAGACCGAUAGGUGAAAAGGGGCCGCAAGGCUCUUGCUGAAGGAGGGGUCCGCGUCCGAUUAGCUAGUUGGUAGGGUAAUGGCCUACCAAGGCAACGAUCGGUAGCCGGCCUGAGAGGGUGAUCGGCCACACUGGAACUGAGACACGGUCCAGACUCCUACGGGAGGCAGCAGUGGGGAAUUUUGCGCAAUGGGCUAACGCCUGACGCAGCAACGCCGCGUGGAGGAUGAAGGUCUUUGGAUUGUAAACUCCUGUCAGCGGGGAAAAAGGGACCUGACCUCAUACGUCAGGGACUUGAUUGUACCCGCAGAGGAAGCCCCGGCUAACUCUGUGCCAGCAGCCGCGGUAAUACAGAGGGGGCAAGCGUUAUUCGGAAUUAUUGGGCGUAAAGGGCGCGUAGGCGGCUUUGCAAGUGACGGGUGAAAUCCCUCGGCUUAACCGAGGAACUGCCUGUCAGACUGCAUGGCUUGAGACCGGGAGAGGUGAGUGGAAUUCCCAGUGUAGCGGUGAAAUGCGUAGAUAUUGGGAGGAAC
rnacentral:rRNA from 1 species